rnacentral:lncRNA from 1 species
UAUCAAUAUCAAUCAUCUCCAACAGUCACAUCAUACAUCAUAGCUACUUUAAUGCAUAAUAGAGGAAACGUACAUCAUACAUCAUAGCUACUUUAAUAACAAAAAUGGCUUUCUUGGAGAAGGAAACCAACUGACUUAGGCAGCUCGGUGGGUAGAAGAAACGACUUUGAUGGCUUGAACGUGGCUCACAAAAGAGGACCGACUAGAGGUGGGCUCGGACAAAUGGUGACUGGCGCGCGCAACUCGGUUGAACGUAAAGAAAAGAGUCGCAUGCUUCUCGGUCUAGAGAGUUCGGCUUGCGACGGUAUUUACGGAGGACGAUGAAUAGAAGUUGAGACGUCGUUGGAGAUCGGUGUCAUGCAGGGGAGAAACUUCAUGACCAAUCUUCAAUCUCGGUUCAUUCCAGCUCCGGACGCACAACGUGGAGGAGAAUCACUUUGCGAUUGAGCUUGAUGGAAAAGCUCGGUGGACGAUGACACUUGCGACGAUGAAAGGAGAUGGUCUCGCCAACGGCGAGGAGUGUGGAGACGACUAUGGUUUUCUUGUG